rnacentral:rRNA from 1 species
GACGAACGCUGGCGGCGUGCUUAACACAUGCAAGUCGAACGGAAAGGCCCUGCUUUUGUGGGGUGCUCGAGUGGCGAACGGGUGAGUAACACGUGAGUAACCUGCCCUUGACUUUGGGAUAACUUCAGGAAACUGGGGCUAAUACCGGAUAGGAGCUCCUGCUGCAUGGUGGUGGUUGGAAAGGUUCGGCGGUUGGGGAUGGACUCGCGGCUUAUCAGCUUGUUGGUGGGGUAGUGGCUUACCAAGGCUUUGACGGGUAGCCGGCCUGAGAGGGUGACCGGCCACAUUGGGACUGAGAUACGGCCCAGACUCCUACGGGAGGCAGCAGUGGGGAAUAUUGCACAAUGGGCGGAAGCCUGAUGCAGCACCGCCGCGUGCGGGAUGACGGCCUUCGGGUUGUAAACCGCUUUCGCCUGUGACGAAGCGUGAGUGACGGUAAUGGGUAAAGAAGCACCGGCUAACUACGUG